rnacentral:rRNA from 1 species
GACGAACGCUGGCGGCGUGCUUAACACAUGCAAGUCGAGCGGUAAGGCCCUUUCGGGGGUACACGAGCGGCGAACGGGUGAGUAACACGUGGGUGACCUGCCCUCCACUCUGGGAUAAGCCCGGGAAACUGGGUCUAAUACCGGAUAGGACCUCUCAACGCAUGUUGGGUGGUGGAAAGUUUUUUCGGUGGGGGAUGGGCCCGCGGCCUAUCAGCUUGUUGGUGGGGUGAUGGCCUACCAAGGCGGUGACGGGUAGCCGGCCUGAGAGGGCGACCGGCCACACUGGGACUGAGACACGGCCCAGACUCCUACGGGAGGCAGCAGUGGGGAAUAUUGCGCAAUGGGCGGAAGCCUGACGCAGCGACGCCGCGUGGGGGAUGACGGCCUUCGGGUUGUAAACCUCUUUUAGUAGGGAAGAAGCGAAAGUGACGGUACCUGCAGAAAAAGCACCGGCUAACUACGUGCCAGCAGCCGCGGUAA